GACACGGGGGUUGCGAUCCCCCCGCGAGGCGACAUGCCCAAGAAUCGCGUCCUGUUUUCACGAAAGGACGCAGCAUG
rnacentral:ncRNA from 1 species